ensembl:lncRNA
GGUGGCGGCGGCGGAGGAGGAGGAGGAGGAGGAGGAGGAGGAGGGGGGGGUGGGGGUAAGCGGCGGAGCAGCUGCGCCGGCGGAGCCAAGCAACCGGCGUGGAAGCGGCGUCGGAGGGCGGCGUCGGAGUGCGACCCGGUGCUGCCGUCCGAGUUCCUGCUGGGGGGCAACAUCUUCGACCCCCUGAACCUGAACAGCCUGCUGGACGAGGAGCCUCAACGCCCCCGGGGACGCCGCCCUCCGCCUCGCCUCGCCCGCCAAAGCCGCCCGACGGCGACACCGCCACCGCGGGCAGCAACGGGCGGCCGCCGCCGCUGCCGCCGCCGCCGAGCCCCCGAAGCCGCCUGAAGCCGCCUGCCCCGAGGAGCUCGACGCCGCCGCCGUCGCCGCGCCGCCCGCCGCCUGCCCCAACAGCCGCCACCGCAAGCGGCGACGGACUUGCAGCAAGUCGGAGGCGGCCCGGCCUCCCCCCGGCGGGACCCCCGAGAAAACGAAGCCGCCCCCCGACAAAACGAAGCCCCCCGGUAAGGCGGCGCAGCAGCAGCAGCACCAGAACCAGCAGCAGCAGCAGCAGCAGCGCCGGAGGCAGGCCCGCAAGUUCCAGUACGGCAACUACUGCAAGUACUACGGGUACCGCAACCCCGACUGCGAGGACGGGCGGCUGCGAGCCAUGCGCCCCGAGUGGUUCGCGGGGAAGGAGGUGCUGGACGUGGGGUGCAACGUGGGGCACCUCACCCUCAGCAUCGCCAAGCGCUGGGGGCCCGCCCGCGUGGUGGGGCUGGACAUUGACGGCGGCCUCAUCCGCUCGGCCCGCCAGAACAUCCGCCACUACCUGUCGGAGGAG